rnacentral:lncRNA from 1 species
CAUCAGCAUCUAGCCAAUUCCCCUUUAAGUCGGUAGGCAAACUCCUGAUUGAUGAUGAGAUGUGCAGCUGGGACUGUGCACAGCCAGGUAAAGAAGUGCUGUUGAGAUGUGGGUCUCUGGGGCACAUGAAAAGCAUGUAGAGCUUUCCUCACUGUUAUCUAUGUUGGUCUUCUGCCCUUCAGCCACAUGAACAACACCAGGAGCCUGACUGCUGCCACUGUCCCGAACUGGUGAUGGUGUCUGUGUAUAGCAAUGUCUAGCAUAAACUUAUUGGAGAAGUCAAUAGCUGCUUGAGUAUGCUGGGAGCCUGAAGUUUCUGUGUAACUGGAGUAGAUUUCUGUGCAACCCAUAUGCACAGACUAUGGCAAGAGAGUGAAUGGGAGGAAACCUGACCAAACCAUGGGAUAAAUCCUGCUGUGUUUGAGACAUGUAUAUCUGCUAAAGUCCAGACAUGGAGGCAUACAUGGAGACCUAACCAACUUAAGAGUCUUUGUGUGUGGAAGGAAUACAACUGCUGCCUCAGUAGACCAACCACACCAAGAAUAUGUGAAGGGAAUCAUGUUUCCAUUUUGCAGAUGGGAAAUGGAGACUAAAUGGUAUGGCCAAAGUCACACUCAGAAGCUGUGCUGGAACAGCACAUUAAACUGAAAUUUCUCAUAUUUGACAAGGUGUCCUAACCACAAGACCUUCAUCUUGUCAUAAUUAAACAAGGCUUAUUUAGUAUUUAGCAAAACACUAUACUUCGGGCUGUUGUAUGACCUUUCACAAUGCAUUGCUUUUACUGGUUUAACUUCAGAAACCCAUCUGUAGUUUUCAUUUAGGACACUGAUUUUUCAGACUUUUCCAUGAAACAAACAAACAAACAAACAAAAAACCCGGAGAAAUAUCAAUAUGCAAUAUUAUAUGGAUUUAAUAACCUAUUGCUCUGAGAUUGUUUUCAGUUGUUGUCUAUGAAAAGUUUAGAUUUUUUAAUAUGGAUUUUUUUAAGAAGUCUUUUAAAGGAGUAUAAAGCCUAAUCCUAUAUUCUGGUGUAUAUUUUCAUUUCAGUACACCUGCUGCAAUUUAGAUUAUGGGUGACACCAAGGACUAGCGAUCAAUCUCACAUCUUUACUAUCUUCUCUUUAGCCACAGUGAUAUUUUUUAAGCACCUUGUCUCUACAGGACAUUUGACUGAAGUUUUGAUAUCGAG